rnacentral:rRNA from 1 species
ACGUAGGGUGCAAGCGUUGUCCGGAAUUACUGGGUGUAAAGGGAGCGCAGGCGGGAAGACAAGUUGGAAGUGAAAACCAUGGGCUCAACCCAUGAAUUGCUUUCAAAACUGUUUUUCUUGAGUAGUGCAGAGGUAGAUGGAAUUCCCGGUGUAGCGGUGGAAUGCGUAGAUAUCGGGAGGAACACCAGUGGCGAAGGCGGUCUACUGGGCACCAACUGACGCUGAGGUUCGAAAGCAUGGGUAGCAAACAG